rnacentral:tRNA from 1 species
GCCUGGCUGGCUCAGUCAUUAGAGCAUGCAACUCUUGAUCUCAGGGUCAUGAGUUCCAAACCCAUGCUGGGCA